AUUGAACGCUGGCGGCAGGCCUAACACAUGCAAGUCGAACGAGUGGCGGACGGGUGAGUAAUGUCUGGGAAACUGCCUGAUGGAGGGGGAUAACUACUGGAAACGGUAGCUAAUACCGCAUACCAUCGGAUGUGCCUAGAUGGGAUUAGCUAGUAGGUGGGGUAAAGGCUCACCUAGGCGACGAUCCCUAGCUGGUCUGAGAGGAUGACGAGCAACACAGGAACUGAGACAGGGUCAAGACUCCGACGGGAGGCAGCAGUGGGGAAUAUUGAGCAAUGGGCGCAAGCCGGAUGCAGACAUGCCGAGUGUAUGAAGAAGGCCGUCGGGUGGUAAAGUACUUUCAGCAGGGAGGCGUUACCCAAAGAAGAAGCACCGGCUAACUCCGUGCGAUCAGCCGCGGUAAUUC
rnacentral:rRNA from 1 species